GGCGCUGUGGCUUAGAUGGUCAAAGUGCCUGUCUAGUAAACAGGAGAUCCUGGGUUCAAAUCCCAGCAGUGCCU
rfam:Gasterosteus aculeatus cont1.005124, whole genome shotgun sequence.